UGAGGAAUAUUGGUCAAUGGGCGGAAGCCUGAACCAGCCAUGCCGCGUGAAGGAAUAAGGCCCUAUGGGUCGUAAACUUCUUUUGACGGGGAGCAAUAAGAUCUACGUGUAGAUCGAUGAGAGUACUCGUCGAAUAAGCAUCGGCUAACUCCGUGCCAGCAGCCGCGGUAAUACGGAGGAUGCAAGCGUUAUCCGGAUUUAUUGGGUUUAAAGGGUGCGUAGGCUGUUUGUCAAGUCAGGGGUGAAAUACCGCAGCUCAACUGUGGAAUUGCCUCUGAUACUGGCAGGCUUGAAUACUGUUGCCGUGGGAGGAAUGAGUAGUGUAGCGGUGAAAUGCAUAGAUAUUACUCAGAACACCGAUUGCGAAGCAUCUCACGAAGCAGGGAUUGACGCUGAGGCACGAAAGCGUGGGGAU
rnacentral:rRNA from 1 species